CGGAUCGUAAAAAUGGUUGUGCUGUGUUGUUACGCUCGAAAUUCAUAUCACAGCCAUUUUGACGAGUUCGA
rnacentral:pre_miRNA from 11 species